UCCCUGGUUUUCCAGUGGUUAAGACUCUGCUCUCCUAAUGCAGGGGGCCCAGGUUCGAUCCCUGAUCAGAGAA
rnacentral:tRNA from 1 species